UUUCCGUAGGUGAACCUGCGGAAGGACCAUUCAUAAUAAAGUGUUUUAUGGCACUUUUUAAAAAUCCAUAUCCACCUUGUGUGCAAUGUAGAUCUCGUCAAUCUUGGCGAGAUUUUUAUACAUCAACUCAUUCUUUAACUAAUUUGUCUGAAAAAUAUUAUGAAUACUUAAUUCAAAAUACAACUCUCAACAACGGAUCUCUUGGCUCUC
rnacentral:misc_RNA from 1 species